UUUUGAAAUCUCUAGUAUUAUUUGUAUAAUAUACUUAUUAGGAGAAUGUUUU
rnacentral:sRNA from 1 species